UUCAGCAUUUUUAAAAUCCUUAAGUCUUGUUUUUAUUUCAAUUAUUUAUCAUUUUGAAAUGGGAAUGCAGGCACGUGGAGCUCAGAAAAAGAUCAGAGUCCAGCUCUCCGCAAGAUUACUUUUUCUUCUUAAUCCUCAGGGACCUGAUUGAAUUUUUCCCUGUUUAUUAUUAUUUUAUAUUUCUUCUUAUUAUUCUAUUUAUUUAUUUAGAUUUAUAAAUGAUACCACCAUGCUAAGGGCAAUUGUCCUCUCUGAUCAUUUCUCUCUGUGACAUUUGUGCAAACCUCAUGCCUGCCUGCUGUGUUUCAGCUCUCGGUUCUUAACUCCUUCAGACCAGAGUAUCAUUUAAUUUUUUACUCACUUGGCCAAGCAUCUUGAAACCAACUGCAUAAUAUUCCAUUUGAAAUGGAAUCAGCCUCACAUUUGCCUUACAGUCUUCGAAUUCUCUGGGGCAAGAGCUGCCUUUUGAAAUGACGCGUAGCGGGGCCGGCAUAAUUGGGCCUCAGGCCUCGAGAAUGGUCCCCGCGGCCCUGCCACAAUGCAGGGUGCACUCCUGACAGCCAAGGGGAUCACCACACUGACUGCUGGACUCUCUGACCCCUGGCAGCUUUCCUUUCCUGCUGAGGUGCAUUCUACAGCUGAACAUGGGUUCAGUGCAGGGGUGAGGGAUGACAUUUAACGGCUUAAGGAGGUCAAAAGAGAUGAUCCAGUGGUUCCUCCCCACCUUCGAUCCCUGAGUCUAUGAAUACUGAUAAGAGCAAAUUUAAAAGCACCUCUGUGGAAAGGCCUCCACAGCCACUGCUUCAGGAAUGCUGUGGGAGUUUUGCUGGAAGACUUUUUCAGGGCUUGGCAUAACUCUGCUUUCAAUGAACAGGCUCAGCCUCAGGGAGAAUACAUCUACCUGGGGUGGAGGAAAAGAUGUCGCUAGAAAAAUAUCACCUUAACUAAGCUGGAGGUGUGACAAGUCUAUUACUAAUUCCAAAGUGGUGACACAAAUAAAUGAAUCAAAUACCCUAAGCACAAUUUUUAGGAGCAAACAACCAGGAAUACUGAACAGCAUGGAUGAAUUUUGAAUUAUUGACUGACUAGCUGUUGACCCACCCACUGGUUUUGGAGUUGCUUAUUUCUACUGGUUCUGGGUUAACAUUGUAACAAAAUAAUCUGCAGCUAAAAGGAAAAAAAAACCAAACCAAACAAUCAGGACAUUUUGUGCAGUUGUGGUUCAGGCAAGACAAGGAGUAGGAAUCCUAGACUGCGCAGCUAUGGAAAGCAUGCUAAGUAAGGCAGGGAAUAUGCAAUAUCCCCAGGCACCCACCAGCAGGUCUUUGAGGCACAGCUGAACCUCACCUUGUUCAAGCCCAGAAGGAGAUUCUCUGUGGAGAGGUGUGAGUCAGUAUAUGUCUGGCUUUUAACUUUAUGCCCUUGCUAUAUCUUUGCAGUCCACUGCCAGAAGCAGUGAAUUACUUAUGGACAUGGAAAAGAGGAGCUGCCUUUUUCAAUCACCCUUCUUUCUUAAGCAGAAGACAUCUGCAGCAAUUGGCAACAAAAGCAAAAAAUAAACUUUGAGCAACCUCACCCCAUCACCACAUCCCUUCCUGAACAUGUAUUGUUUAGCAAGAAGAUAAUAUUUCUAGUAAUGAAACAACAAAGAAAAUAGUGUUCAGUGCUCUGUAAAAGGAAUGCAUACGGACACACAUGCACAAGAAACUUGGAAUAAAAUUCUCUGAAAAAGCACUUCUUCCUGUGCUUCGCAGUGAUGGAGGGACAAAUCAUUACUUUUAAGAAAUCGUUUUAUAAUGCAAAAACACUGGAAGGUGUACUUUUGACUUGACAGCAUAAAUUAUGUUCAGGUUCUGCUUGAGUCAAAGAUGCAAAAGGGAGGCCUAGAAAUGUGAAACUGGUCUGUUUUGGCUUUGACUCAACUCCCAGAAUGACCCAGCAAGAAUUCUUCUUCAUUUAGCAUGUUUGCUUUAUUUUGGCACAGAGACAUCUCUAGUUCUCUGGCACAAUUUAAUUAAAAAUUGUUGGAGCUUCACCUGCGCAUUUCUGCAAGGUCUGACUUGUUUCUCCUGUUGCUGCAUGACACUUUCCUGACUUCUGCCUGUGCUGGUGUUGCCAUUUCUCUGGGGAGCCCUCAAAGACAUGAGUCUGGAUGACCUCAAGCUGCCCCAGGAAACUGUAAGCCUGCAGGACGCCCUUGAUGCAAGGCAGCUCUCCUGUCAUGGUUCAACCACAGCCAACAGCUAAGGACCAUGAAACCUCUCACUCCUUCCCCAACCCUCCGAUGGGAAGCAGGGGAGAGUAGGAAAAAAAAAGGUAAAAUUCAUGGGUUGAGAUAGAGCAAUUUAAUAAUUGAAAUACAAUAAUAAUAAUAAUAAUAAAUAAUAAUAAAUAAAUGCAAGAAAAUAAAAUUAGAAGAAUAAACCCUAAGAAAACCAAGUGGUGCACAAUUCAACUGCUCAUCACUCACUGACAGAUGUCCAUCCCAUCCCUGAGCAGCAACCAGUAGAACCCAGCCAACUCCCUCCAGUUUAUGUGUUGAACAUGAUAUUCCAUUUUAUGAAAUAUCCUUUUGACAAGUUUGGCUCUCCUGGCCAUGCUCCCUCCCAGCUUCUUGUACACCUGCUUGAUGUCAGAGCACAGGAAACUGAGUAGACCUUUUCUUAGGCUAAGAACACCUGAGCAAACCACCAGUGUCUUAUCAACAUGGUUCUCCUACUAAAUCCAAACCACAGUAAUGUACCAGCUACUAGGAAGGAAAUUAACUUUAUCACAGCCAGAACAAGGGCAGCUCCAGACAUCUCAGAAGUGCUGGCAAGACUGAAUUUUGUUGCAAAAGAGCAUCAGUAGAGCCACAGAAAGGUCCUGGAGAGUCGCUCUUUCCACUCUGCUGGGCCAGGGGUUUCAGGGGAGCAAAGGGUGGGUGACAACAAUUGCAGGGAAAACCUCAGAUCUUUGCUCUGCUGUUGAAAGCCAUGGCCCUGCAUGUCCCAAUUCCUCCAGCAACAGCCACCAGGCUGGCUCUCCAGGGCACUCACACUGACAAAGGCACUGCAGGAGCCUGAACUCACUCUGGUUUCACCAGCAGUCUGUUGCCAUAGGCAACUGCCUAUUUUGCCUAUACCUAGAGCUGGCCGUGAGCAGUCUGCACAGCAGGAUUGCUGUGAUGAGAUUAGCACACUUUAUUAUACUAUCCCUGCUCUUAUCACCAACCCCAGCUCUGACAAAUUCAAGAUAAGGAAAUUUCUCUCAUGUACUUACCAUGGUCUUGAACAGGACUUUAGAGAGAAGCAGUGAAUGCCACAAUAUUCACAUUUACAUGGGAAAAUUUAGGGAGUCAUUGCUAUUCUUGUUUUCAGGUCCUCUGAACCCUUUAAUGUCCCAGUUCUGGUCUGGUUGCUUAUCAGUUAUCCCAGCUUGAGUAGCUUGAGGGUGUCCUCUGCGCACUAAGAUAAUGUCAAUAUGGGACCAAGGCAUCCUAAUCCCUUCAACAGUAGCCCAUAAUAUUUUCCAUGCCAAACUACCCAGGAAUAGCUUGCUUUUCAGGCUGGCUUUAACCUGUGUACCACUUCACUUUUGGCAGCUGGGAUAGAGAGCUACAUCAGGUCUCUUCGGAGGAUGCUUCUGCCAAACUGCAGGGGACAGCAGACGAGAGCAGACGAAACCAGCGUGAUUCCUCCAUGCGAUGAGCUGCCUGAUGGGAAAAGCCAGUAGGACAGUGUGGAAGCUCUGGCAUCUCUCUAGCAGUGCCUUGCAGACAGCCUCUGGCCAGGUGGCAGGGCAUUCUUGUGUUGGCUUGUACUAUGCAGGCGUUUUUCUCGCUGUGUGCACAGACAAGCAAAGCUAGAGCUACUGCAAGCUCUGUGCUAGCAAGGAUGCCAAGGAACACCAUGUGGAGGCGGGUGAAUUCUGGAUGAGCAAGUGGGUAAACAGAAAGGCUGAAGUGCCAGGGGUAGCCUAGGGGCAUUCCCUUAGGGAACAAACAGCAACUGAGACAGAAAGUAAGGCCUCACUACAGCAACUAGCUUUUGGAAUUGUUCUUGGGUAUCAGACAGACUUUUAACAAAAAGUCCUGGUUUACCAGGUGAUGCAUGUGCUGGCAGUUGCUGUAUUUUAAGUCUACAAUUUUGAUUCUGAAAUGACAGUCCGUGGAUUUACCUAUUUCCUUGUAUCACCUGGGAUCACUUUUAUGAUGCAGACUUUAUUUUCAGUGGCACUGAGUGCAAGCCAGCAACCUUGACAAAACCACAGUUUCUCAUCACUGUUAAUGCUCAGGACUUGGGUCUUGGUCCCCAUGAUACUAUUAAGAAAACUUCUAUUGUCUUUCACAUGAGUAAGCUUUUAACUAAUUCAACUUGUAUCCAGUCUUUAUUUACAUCUGAACAACCACUCUGACCAGAAGGGACUGUGACAGUGGGAGCAAAAUGUGACCUCUGAUGUGUUCUGUUUUAGCAGUGAUUCUCACAGCUCUCAGCCUCUCUCUCCUCACACGGAGUUACUGUACUUUUAACCUUUCUCACUAAAGUCUGUUCAGAGUAACGAGAAAAUGGAUGUGACUAUAUCAGAAAGUCCUGAUAUUUCUGUCAUGAAAUAUUUAACAAGUACUGAUGUUGAAAAGGCUGGUUGUCAGGAGGAUGUGCACCUCCUAAAUAACAGGGGCAAAAUAACAUAAUUGCAGUGCACUGCUUUCCAUGGACAGAAAUCUCAGUUAAAUUCCUCCCAUCUUUCUCUUCAUAGGGUCACAAAGGUCAAGAAUUGCUUACAAAAAAUAAGAGAGUGUCCAGCAGCCAAGAUGCAUCCUGACUCCAUCUCACAUAUCUUGUGAUACCAGCCACGUAUCUUGUUCUCCUCUCCUACUCCUUUCUCCUCUUGUCUUCCUUUCUAGAAGGCCAGAUGUGUAGAUGUAGGGCAGGCAGCCUCACUGUCAGCAAGGAAGGAGUUGUAGGAGACCAAAGAAAACUUCUCCAGUUUUGGUGGAAGCAAGGAACGGGAUAUGAAAUGAGAAAUGUCAGAUACCACCAUAAGAAGAAAUACUGCCCAUUUUUUUUCUUCUCAGUGAUGAUAUAUACAUGCAGACACCAGCCUAGGAGUUGAGGGGGAACGCUAAUGAAUCUCUCUGAGUUGUGUCUAUGGCGCUGAUUACCACUGUUCCCUCAGAAGUCUCCAAUAUUUAUGAUUUGGAGAUGUUUUCAGCAGGCAAUGAAAUAUUAGACGCUAUUAAAAAAAUGUACCACAUAAUUGCAGAAGAUGGCAUGUUCCCGUUCCAAUUAGAAGUGGAUAACUGUAAUACCUGAAGGAGCCUUGUGCAUCAUUUGUAGGUGACUUUGAAUCCUGAAGAUAAUGAAAUAGGAGCUAUUAUAAAGGAUACAAUUAUUAUUUUGACAACAUCUUCUUUGACAGCUUCAUGAAUGAACUUUACUGAAUAAAUGAUGAUUCAUUAUCCAUCAAAUAGUAUUUUCCCACUUAUCCAACUUCCUCUGCCUUCAAUAUCUGAGAGCCUUCCAAGUAUUUUAUAAAAGUAACAACCUUUCUUCUUGCUUUUAGAGCUACAGUCAGUUCAUCAUUACAAAUGUCUGAAAAAAAGAGCCAUGCUGCACAUUGAGGUCCUCCUACAGCCAGGAGCAUGCUGAAAGGAUAUCAUGAGCUGUUGUAAAUCUACUUGAAAAUCAAAAUCUGAGCAAGACAAUCAAGAAGCUGGCCAAGAAAAAUCAUUGUGUAACAUGGAAAAAAAUAGUCUCCUUCUCAGGAGGAAAAUUUUGAAGAUGAUGGAGUCUCCACCUGAAGCUACAGUGUUCUCACCAUUGCAUUAGCCAUAAUACAAGAAAUGAGAGAGCACAAAGUACAUAAGUCCUUCCAGGACUUGCAACAUUAAUACAAUUAUAAAAAAAAUAUUAUAUAGAAAUAUUACAUAAAGAAAUUUAAAAUAUGCUUAAAUGAAUGAUUUAAAGAAGUAAUUUUUACAGUUUAUUCACUGUCUUGGACUACUGGACUUUCAAUGAAAUGGGUAAAAGCACUUGUAUUUUAAUGUGGACAUCAUUCCUCAGGUAGAUUAAAAGUCUUAACAUCUCCAAACAGUAGAACCAAAUCCAGGUGUGGAAGUGAGGAAGUGGAAAAUUAUGUAUUUAACUUCUUUAAAUUUUGUGAAACUGUUAAUCCAGACUAGUUGAAGCUAAACAUAUAGUCUAGGCUGAGACUACAAGUGCUCCUUAUCUCCUCAAUGGUCUUCAGGCACAAUACCUAUUAUGUAGUGACUAUAAUCCAUUUUCUUCUUGACACAUGGAAGGAUGUGUAAUGAUAGGGAAGAUCAUUAAAAGUUUCUUCAUAAGUUUCAUUUUUGUCGCUUGCACAUUUGGACAUGUAACCAUUUCUGCCAUCAAGGAGACUAAAGUAUGUGAACAGAAGAAUAAGCCCAUAGAGACAGACCAAGGAGUCAUUUACUUCUGUAAUAAACAUCAGUGGACAAAGCCAGGAUGCCUAGAAAGAAAACAAAAACAAGACAAGGCUGUGUGUUUGACACGUGUUCCUCCAGCUUCUGGCUGUUUGCAGAUGUUCUAAACCAGAUGCAAUUUCUAAGCAGCAGCACUCUUGAAUGGAUUUCUCUUCCAUGGGUUUGUUCAGUGCUCCUUUACAGCUGUGUAAGCUUCAGUCACCUGAAACAUCUUACAGCAUGGAGAUCCACAGCCCAACCACAUCUUUUAUCACAGCUGAACCAACCUCCUGCUUGCUUCAUUUGUCCCACCUUCCUUCUCCAAAAGACAGUCAAUCCACACUCCUGUCUCCCUGAAAGGGACCACCAACAUGUUCCCUGACUAUUUUCUUUCUGGACUGAAGUGAUUCUUCAUCCUGAAACCUUAUCACACC